AACAAACGCUGGCGGCGUGCCUAAUACAUGCAAGCCGAACGGGGAAAGCUUUCGGGUGAGUACUAGUGGCGCACGGGUGAGUAACGCGUGGAUAAUCUGCCUUAGAGUGGGGGAUAACUAGUCGAAAGAUUAGCUAAUACCGCAUAAGACCACAAGAACUGCGGUUCAAGGGGUCAAAGGUUUUUCGCUCUAAGAUGAGUCCGCGUAAGAUUAGCUAGUUGGUAGGGUAACGGCCUACCAAGGCGACGAUCUUUAACUGGUCUGAGAGGAUGAUCAGUCACACGGGAACUGAGACACGGUCCAGACUCCUACGGGAGGCAGCAGUAGGGAAUAUUGCACAAUGGAGGAAACUCUGAUGCAGCGACGCCGCGUGAGUGAUGAAGGCCUUCGGGUCGUAAAGCUCUGUCGCAGGGGAAUAACACAAUGAAGGUACCCUGUAAGAAAGGAUCGGCUAACUUCGUGCCAGCCGCCGCCGUAAUAC
rnacentral:rRNA from 1 species